rnacentral:lncRNA from 1 species
UUUUUUUUUUUUUUCUUUUUUGAGAUAGAUUCUUGCUCUGUCACCCAGGUUGGACUGCAGUGGUAUGACCUCGGCUCACUGCAACCUUCGCCUCCUGGGUUCGAGUGAUUCUCCAGCCUCAGCCUCCUGAGUAGCUGGGAUUACAGGCGCCUGCUACCAUGCCUGGCUCCUUUUUUUUUUUUAGUAUUUUCAGUAGAAAGGGGGUUUCGCCAUGUUGGCCAGGCUGGUCUCGAACUCCUGGCCUCAAGUGAUCUGCCCACCUCAGCGUCCCAAAGUGCUGAGAUUACAGGCGUGAGCCACUGCACUUGGCCUCUCUCCCUGUAUCUUCAUGUAUCUUCAAAGCCAAGAAGGAGUUUCUGUCCCUUUGGUUAGGGGCGGGGUCCCAGAGGUCCAGGGUCAAGGCUACGGCCGCCUCUCAAGGACGUGCAUCCCUGCAAGAGGCUGCAUCCAGCAGUCAUGGAAGAGGCUCCGCUGGGGCCUGCUCCAAUUCCUGCUGGGGAAAGCAAGUGGAGGUGCCCCUUGAAGAAACGGGGAUGCCACCAAUCUCAGGGGUUCUGUCCUGGCCUGCGGCCCUGGAUGGUCCAGCCUCUGCUGGGAUGGCAGCAGACGACGCCCUUCUUGGCUGGAGCUGAGGGUGGGGGUCCCGCUUCCCCAAAGGCCUAGCCCUGGAUUCCAGCCACAGGUUCUACUGAGCAGCGCCUGGCGCUGCCCUGCCCCUCCAGGCCUGGCACUCGCCCUCAACAAACAUGGCGCAGAGGGCCUCACGCUACAGGCCCGCUGGGCUCCCCCUCCUCCCCGCUGCGCCGCUCUCAUCCUCUCAGACUGGCUGACAAGAUAGGGAGCGGGAAGUAUGACCUGGCUGGUGACGGUGUCCUGGGCGGCUCUCAGGGGCUGUUGUGUGGCUGCCCGCAGGAGCUGCUGGGCGGGAUGCUGUACACCCGGGAGAGCCGAUCGCUGGAGCGCAAGGAGCUGGACGGCCUCUGAAGCUUCCAAGCCGACCUCUCCGACAACCCACGCGGGGGCUUCCAGGAGCAGAGGUACCCACGACCGUUGCGAGAGGCGCCCGGAGGCCCUGCGUUGGGAAUGGCAUAAGCCCCGGCGCCCUGCAGCCUCCUUCACCUGAGUGCCCCAGAGC